rnacentral:rRNA from 1 species
GAGGAAGGUGGAUAUGUUAAUAGCAUAUUCAUUUGACGUUAGCUGCAGAAGAAGCACCGGCUAACUCCGUGCCAGCAGCCGCGGUAAUACGGAGGGUGCGAGCGUUAAUCGGGAAUUACUGGGCGUAAAGCGCAUGCAGGUGGUUUGUUAAGUCAGAUGUGAAAGCCCGGGGCGUCAACCUCGGAAUUGCAUUUGAAACUGGCAAACUAGAGUACUGUAGAGGGGGUAGAAUUUCAGGUGUAGCGGUGAAAUGCGUAGAGAUCUGAAGGAAUACCGGUGGCGAAGGCGGCCCCCUGGACAGAUACUGACACUCAGAUGCGAAAGCGUGGGGAGGCAAACAGGAUUAGAUACCCUGGUAG